rnacentral:lncRNA from 1 species
CACAAUUGAUACAAAUAUGAUACACAUUAUUUUUUUCUUGUUUAGUUUUUACUUCAAAUUUUCAAUUCAAACCACCUCCAAACUUCACCAAAACAUCUCAAAACUGAGAUUCAAUCUCAUUUAGAUGUACCCAAUCUAUUCUAAUAAUACCCACUCAAAAGAAAGCAAAAAAUUGACCUUUUUUCAUACUCAUACUCAAAUUAUUACUCAAUUGCAGGAAACAACA